rnacentral:rRNA from 1 species
GCCGGAGGAUGCAAUCGUUAUCCGGAAUUAUUGGGCGUAAAGCGUCCGUAGGUGGCAUAUCAAGUCUGCUGUUAAAUCCCAGGGCUCAACUCUGGAUCAGCAGUGGAAACUGAUAAGCUAGAGUGCGGUAGGGGCAGAGGGAAUUCCCGGUGUAGCGGUGAAAUGCGUAGAUAUCGGGAAGAACACCAGUGGCGAAGGCGCUCUGCUGGGCCGUAACUGACACUCAUGGACGAAAGCUAGGGGAGAGAAAGGG